GACGAACGCUGGCGGCGUGCUUAACACAUGCAAGUCGAGCGGUAAGGCCCUUUCGGGGGUACGACGAGCGGCGAACGGGUGAGUAACACGUGGGUGACCUGCCCUCAGCUCUGGGAUAACGCCUGGGAAACUGGGUCUAAUACUGGAUAUGACUCCACGGUGCAUGUCGUGGGGUGGAAAGCCUUGUGCGGCUGAGGAUGGGCCCGCGGCCUAUCAGCUUGUUGGUGGGGUGAGGCCUACCAAGGCGACGACGGGUAGCCGGCCUGAGAGGGCGACCGGCCACACUGGGACUGAGACACGGCCCAGACUCCUACGGGAGGCAGCAGUGGGGAAUCUUGCGCAAUGGGCGAAAGCCUGACGCAGCGACGCCGCGUGAGGGAUGACGGCCU
rnacentral:rRNA from 1 species